ACGGAGGGUGCAAGCGUUAUCCGGAUUUACUGGGUUUAAAGGGUGCGUAGGUGGGUCUGUAAGUCAGUGGUGAAAUCUCCGAGCUUAACUCGGAAACUGCCAUUGAUACUAUCUGUCUUGAAUACCGUGGAGAUGAGCGGAAUAUGUCAUGUAGCGGUGAAAUGCUUAGAUAUGACAUAGAACACCAAUUGCGAAGGCAGCUCGUUACACGAACAUUGACUCUGAGGCACGAAAGCGUGGGGAUCAAACAGGA
rnacentral:rRNA from 1 species